GAAAUGCGAUACGUAAUGCGAAUUGCAGAAUUCAGUGAAUCAUCAAAUCUUUGAACGCAUAUUGCGCUCGCUGGUUAUGCCGGUGAGCAUGCCUCUCUGAGUAUCAUUUACACCUUCUCAACUGAGCGUACUUCGGUGCGCUUCCAGUUGGAAAUUGAGUAUCUCGCUGUUACAGGCGUGUUACUUUAAAUCGAACGUGCUCUGGGUGCAAGGGAGAAUUUCUUUCAUUGAAAAAAAUUCGUCAGACUCUUCACUAGCUAAUGCAGAUAAGCCACCUUUACGGUAGCCAAAAAUUCAGCAUUUAUGUUGGUUGAAAAGUAUAGCUUUGCUCUCGGUCAGUACUCAAUUAUUGAUUCGCUUCUCGAAUCUUGAUCUCAGAUGAAGCAAGAGGACCCGCCGA
rnacentral:misc_RNA from 1 species